AGCGUUGUUUGGGUCGCUUGUCCGGGUCUCUUCUCACCGUCCAGGAUGAGAAGCGUCAGUUGCAACGUGAGUUUGACUCUGAGGUUGAGAGGCUACAGGCAGAGUUGGCUCGUGUGACCAGAGAGAGAGACCAGGCAGUCCAGAAGAACAGUGAGCUGAGUCAGGACCUGCUUGCAGUGCGGGAGCAGAAGGACAGGGUGACCACUGCUCACAGGAACUGCGAGCGCAUGCUAGUCCAUGUGCUUGGACAGAGGAAUGAAG
rnacentral:lncRNA from 1 species